rnacentral:rRNA from 1 species
GCGUAUACAAUUUGCCUUUUACUGGAGGAUAGCCAAGAGAAAUUUUGAUUAAUACUCCAUAGUAUUAUUUGAUCACCUGAUCGAGUAAUUAAAGUUCCGGCGGUAAAAGAUGAGUAUGCGUCCUAUUAGCUAGAUGGUAAGGUAACGGCUUACCAUGGCGACGAUAGGUAGGGGUCCUGAGAGGGAGAUCCCCCACACUGGUACUGAGACACGGACCAGACUCCUACGGGAGGCAGCAGUGAGGAAUAUUGGGCAAUGGAGGCAACUCUGACCCAGCCAUGCCGCGUGCAGGAAGACUGC